rnacentral:tRNA from 1 species
GGCCCCGUCGUCUAGGGGCCUAGGACACAGCCCUUUCACGGCUGCGACACGGGUUCGAAUCCCGUCGGGGUCA